GAUGUCAUUUAGCAAAGCCUUUGGAUUCACAAAAUGCAGAAAAAGCUAAAUUUAAAGCGAUCUCAGCUGCAAGGAGGUGUUGAAUAAUGUGCUAAUGUGCACAGUAUUAAUCUGAAGUCUUCAGGUGUUUCUUGGGGAAGAAGAGGGUGUGGAAAGUGAUAGGGGGGAGAGCACACUUGUUUGAGAUGGAUCACUUGGAAUACCCCCAUAAGGUAUAUAAUCACAAAUGCCUGCAAAUUAAGAUAAACCAGACAUCUCUCAGACAAUGCUAAUUCCCCUUCGGUGCAGAGUAGAUUAUUUCAAACCUGGCAAGAUGACGGAUAAGCACCAAACAGCAGAUUUAUAACUUUGGCAGCCCAUGCAAGCCCUGCUACAGACCUACCAUUGACUGACACGCGGGUUGCAAUCCAGAAAAUCCAACGUGAAGUCAACCAAACCGCUCUUUUUUUCUCUCCCCUUCCAUUGCUAAAGUUGAGGGUUACACAGCGGCAGGCUAAUUGCAGGUGUCGUUAGAGAGAGUGAUGUAGAGCAGGCCACCCAGCCUGCGCAGCUGGAAAUGUCCUUCCUGGGGGGGCGGAGCCAUAGUCAAUCAUGUGUGACCCUGUGGAAUUCCGCUCAGCAGUCGGAACUGGCACCAGCUUUACAGGAACCCCCCCUUCCCUGCUGCUGAAUGAGAUUCUCCCGGGCAUCCUGUACAUCGUUAAAAUAGCCGGCUGACUCUGUUCACGGCUUUCAAAAGGUGACUGGUUCUUUAUUCGGUGUUGGCAGACUCUGGGAUUUUAACCCCUAAAAUGAUUCAAUUGCUUCCCAUAUUCCUAUAUCAUUUUUAUAGAUCCCCCUCUCCAUGCCCCAUUUAAAAAUUCUCAGUCAUUGACUCAUGUACACUCUUAUUCCUUAAUA